rnacentral:lncRNA from 1 species
UUCAUUCAUUCAUUCAUUCAUUCAUUUUAAUUUUAUUUUUUUCCCCUGUCAUUUAAAUUUUUUUUUCUUUUUUUUUAGACUGAGGCCAAGAACUCAGCACACAAUUCCCAGGCACACCAACCAGGGUGCAAACAAGUUUUCAACCUUGUGUGGCAGUUGAAAAUAAAAUCUUUAAUGUGAACAGUAGCAUGCCCUGCAAAGAACCAGCUAGGGAAGAAGUUUGGAAUGGAAUAGGACCCCAGAGAAUAGAAACACUGGAUGCGUCCAGGUCUUCAUUUGCUCCCUUGGAGGAUACCUUGCUUCUGUUUUCUCCUCUGCCCUAAAGAUGAGUGAGUGACCCAUGAGGAAAUGCAAAGAGCCAUUCCUGUUAGCUGGGCCACCCAGGUAAAGAACAGGUAUAAUAACAAAUGAAACCACAUCCAAAAUUUCGAAGAAGCACUGCAGAAGGAGAUUUUGUGCUGCCUUCACCUAGGCAAGAGUGUGCCUCCCCUGCAGAGCCCUGUGAACCGAGAUCUCAACCAAGAAUGUGAGUGGGCUAGACCAACAGGGAAGGGGGAAGGGCAGGGAGGACACAGCCACCUCCAGGCCCUAGCACUAAUGGUCCCACAAGUCUGAAAUCUGGACAGGAUGCAUCUCCAAGCAUUCUCUGAAUGGAUCUUUGUCAAAAAUUUUGAGGGUAUCAAGGGAAAAGCUUCUCGCUAGAUUGAGCCAAGUAUACCCUUUCAUCUGCUCAGAUGACUGUGCUAAUGAGCAAACUUCUAAGUAGUAGACAUGGUUAAUUUUUGUAUGAGACACACUCAAUGGAAUGAAAUUAAGGGAAUUAUCCUAUCUUUGUGCAUGCUUACCAGUUCUAUUUUUGAAUUUCAAUUGGAAACAUGAUUUUUCUCUUGUCACUCCCUUCUCUGAGACUACGGCAUGCGAAAGAAAGCUGCGUUGUAAGUAUACCUUCUCUCCCUUGCAUUCAUCACCUUCCAUCACAAAGCACAGAAACUUAGCAGGUGAAAAUCAUCACCCAGCUUCCCAGCCUGGCGGAUGGCUCUGUUGGGGGAUGUACAGGAGGUGUAGGAGGAGAAGAGAGGGUUCCUUCAGAUAUGCUCGUUGAACUGCAGGUGGGCAGGCCCCUGUUUAUUUUCCCAGUGGAACACCACGUAGUUUACACUCAGUCUCUUCCAACCAAAAUGAUUGAGGAAAUAAUGAUUACCAAGUAAUCUAGCCUUUGGAUCUAAUCCAUAUGGCAUCCCAUUUGUGAGCCUCGGGGAGAUGCAAUGUUGGCCAGUGUUGGUUGAUGGGAAUGCAAACUGGUGCAGUCACUCUGGAAAACAGUAUGAAGUUUCUUCAAAAAGUUAAAAAUAGAACUACCUCAUGAUCCAGCAAUGGCACUACUAGGUAUUUACCUAAAUAAUACAAAAAUAUUAUUCAAAGGGAUACACAC